rnacentral:rRNA from 1 species
CUACCCUUGACAUGUCCGGAAUCCUGCAGAGAUGCGGGAGUGCCCGAAAGGGAAUCGGAACACAGGUGCUGCAUGGCUGUCGUCAGCUCGUGUCGUGAGAUGUUGGGUUAAGUCCCGCAACGAGCGCAACCCUUAUCAUUAGUUGCUACGCAAGGGCACUCUAAUGAGACUGCCGGUGACAAGCCGGAGGAAGGUGGGGAUGACGUCAAGUCCUCAUGGCCCUUAUGGGUAGGGCUUCACACGUCAUACAAUGGUCGGUACAGAGGGUUGCCAAGCCGCGAGGUGGAGCCAAUCCCAGAAAGCCGAUCGUAGUCCGGAUUGUUCUCUGCAACUCGAGAGCAUGAAGUCGGAAUCGCUAGUAAUCGCGGAUCAGCAUGUCGCGGUGAAUACGUUCCC